UAUAGGUUAACCCUUUCAGUCCUGAAUUCUUUUUUUGUCGAGCUGAAGAAUGCCAAAUUAAGUUAUAUAAUUUAAAAAAGGCACUCUUAUAUUGAGUAUACAGUACAGGACAAAAAAUGUUACAUAUAUCUAAACCCCACAUAUCAGAAAGUAACUUGUGUAAUUACAGUGGAGGAAUUUUUGGCCUGAAAUGUCAAAGCAUGUUUGCACUCGCUUGUAUAACAAUACAGCUGAUCUCAUGUUUUUCUUAUUUGCUUUUUAGUCGCUUCUCAACGAUUCUUUCCUUCACACAGGCGCUAAGAUAAGACAGGACUCUGAGGUCCCGCCAGGACUGGAAGGGUUAAAGAGAAACCAGACUUGUUAUGGAUUUUAAAAUGUUGAUGAUAAUGUAUUUGCACUUACUCAGGAGAGACAAAGACGAACACAUGCGUCCUCCGAAACGUGUGCCGUCAGCUGUCCGCUUCUUUUCACACUGCAGCCCCGUCAUGCAGCUACCUCAGAGCUGCAAUGUCGGAGGACCACGCAGCUCUGGGCUGCUUGUAGGGAGGCCUGCAGGUACCUGGACAGUCUACAGGGGUUGCUGUUGCGCGGUGAGCUGAGGACACCCUGGCCGACUUAAGCCCUCCCUACCUGAGCGGCACUCGGCCAAUUGUAUGCCGACCCCUGGGAACUCCCAUCCACGGCCGGCAGUGGAAUAUCCUGGACUUGAACCGGUGACCUCCAGGCUAUAGGGCGUAUCCUGCACGCCAUGUGGAGUGCCUUUACCGGAUGCGCCAUUCGGGAGCCCUGUUUUGGUUUGUUUGAUUGAACAUUUUCUUAACUGGAUUGAGAUGAGCUGUGGAUUCCUGGUUCCUGUGUGGCUCUGCUUGUACCAGGGUUUUUCAGAGGGGUCCUGGUUCCUGGUUCCUGUGUGGCUCUGCUUGUACCAGGGUUUUUCAGAGGGGUCCUGGUUCCUGGUUCCUGUGUGGCUCUGCUUGUACCAGGGUUUUUCAGAGGGGUCCUGGUUCCUGUGUGGCUCUGCUUGUACCAGGGUUUUUCAGAGGGGUCCUGGUUCCUGGUUCCUGUGUGGCUCUGCUUGUACCAGGGUUUUUCAGAGAGGUCCUGGUUCCUGGUUCCUGUGUGGCUCUGCUUGUACCAGGGUUUUUCAGAGGGGUCCUGGUUCCUGUGUGGCUCUGCUUGUACCAGGGUUUUUCAGAGGGGUCGGAACUGCCUAACAUCACAGCACAGGGCAGUCAGUAAAGUGCUUUAAAUAUGGCUUUGUAUGAGUUAUAUAUUGUUUAAAAAUUCAGUUUCUGUCAAAAAACAUGAAUGGAUGUUUUUUUUAUAUAUAUUUUUUUAUUUUUAUAAGUAAAUGGCUCCCCUUAUAAAAGUUUCCCAUAGUAAAGUGUAAUAAAGCAUUGUAACAGAGAGGCAUGCUAAAGCAUUUGUUUUUUUAAUUUAUUAUUAUUUAUUUCUUAGCAGACGCCCUUAUCCAGGGCGACUUAAAAUUGUUACAAGAUAUCACAUUAUUAUUUUUUACACAUUAUUUUUACAUACAGUUACCCAUUUAUACAGUUGGGUUUUUACUGGAGCAAUCUGGGUAAAGUACCUUGCUCAAGGGCACAGCAGCAGUGUCCCCAUCUGGGAUUGAACCCACGACCCUCCGGUCAAGAGUCCAGAGACCUAACCACUAAAUGGUAAACUUGGGUAAGCUACGGUAAAUGCAUAAUAUAACCAUGGGAAACGCACAGUAAAUGCGCAAAAAUACCAUGGUGAACUUUUGUAAGGGUCAUUAAGCUCCACAAUAUGGACAUUCAAGAGUUUUUGGCAAAAACAAGUCAUUAGUGCAAAAACAAAUGUUGUGUUGUAACCUGUUUAUUGAACACAGAAACAAUGAAGCUCCACAGUCCAGCUCAACAUGUGCCCCUUGGUUGUUUGUCUUGCGUGGGUCUUUAGGAAGUCCGUGGUCACCGAUAUGACGCCUCCUGCCAGACAGGUUUUCCAGCUCUGGGUAAUGUGAUAACCACAACUACAUUAUGUCGUGUUCUGUUUGGCUUCGAGGGACUGUGUGUGGGAUUGCUGUUGCAUGACACUAGCUUGUUUUUUUUUUUCUCUCUUUUUCUUUUUUUUGACAGAAUAGUGAAUUGUAAACACAUUAGUUCUUCCCUGCCCUGAUUUCAAGAGAGAAGACUCUUUUUUUAUUUUUAAAUAGCAGUACCUGACCUGGGGUCACAGUUAAUUGAUUCAGAGAGCCUUGUCUAGCUUGGGCCUCUUAAAGUCCGGUCUUCGCAUUCCAUCCAGUGUUCCGUGUGGCAGCUCAGCUUAUUAGGAGCGAGAGAGGGGAGGAAGUUUCAGCUCUGAUUAUGCAGAGUUUCCUUUCUUUCCCCCCUCCCACUUUCAUCCCGUCGUUUCCAUGAACUGGAAGACUUUAAAUGUACGCUUGGCCUCCAGGUAGAGUAGGCAUGCUUCUUUGACAUGAGGAUCUUUCUGAAAGCCCGGUGUUUUCAGGAUAACUCUUGCGGUUGUUUAUGCACGGAGCUAAAGGGAGAUUAGUGACCCUGAUCUGAGUUCAGCACACUGGAAGUGCACAGCUGCACAGUGCAGGGGCCGGGGCUGAGACUGACAGGCAUUGAGGCAGCUCUCUCUGGAGGGGCCUCAGCCAGGCAGUCCUCAGUCUCUUGGUGCUUUGGACAGACAGCUGUGACCAAAAACUUAAAAAUGGAACAGAUCACAAAAAAAGGAACCUUGCAAUUCUUUAAGGCACUUACGGUACAUCACUUGGAUUUUCACAUGCGAUCAGAAAGCUUGCCCAACAUGAUGAAUAAUUGCUACUACAUGAGAGACGACUUCGGGGCUUUCGCAGGGAUUGCAGACACAAUGGGCAAAGUCAAAUAUUUUAGCAAGAGACAAAAGGACAGCCCCCUAGUCGCUGGCAGAGGGGUUAACUCUCCCCCUUGUGCUACAGGAAUGUGUUUAAUUGGGAGGAAUCAGGGCUCAUGCACAGACUCAUUCAAUCACAGGCUUAUUACAUGAGCGCCGGCUGGAAGCUAAAACACCCUCAUUAUAUCUGUUUGUGCUGUAAAUAAAAUCAAGCUUAUAUUUCCUCAUCUUUUGUUAAAACCUAAAAUUCCAGCUGUAACUUAUUAAGAUUAAAAGUUAACAGUAAACAUUGUUAUUAACUUUUAACAACCUCGGUUUUGCCUAUCUAUCUAUCUAUCUAUCUAUCUAUCUAUCUAUCUAUCUAUCUAUCUAUCUAUCUAGAUAUAUAUGUAAAAAUAGCAAUGUUAUUUAUGGAAUAGCCUGUGAAAAAUGUGAUGAAAUAAAAUAUGUUGGAGAGACUGGAACAACUUUAUAUAAAAUAAAUGUGCUUUAUUUUGCUCUUAUCUGCCCCCUAUUUUACUGCAUUUAAUCCUGUACUUCAGAAUACUGUAAUCUGCCAAGUGUUUAACCUGUAGUACUUUGUAUUUAAUCAUAUCCUGAUGUAACUAUCACUAUUUAAUCAUAUCCUGAUGUAACUUUCACUAUUAUCUGCUGUAUUAUUGAAUUGUGGUUUGUCACACUUGAACAAAAGUUAUUGUAUUUCUUGCUCUUAUUGUAUUACUUGUAUUGUAACACUUGAAAUGUAUUUGCUUACGAUUGUAAGUCGCCCUGGAUAAGGGCGUCUGCUAAGAAAUAAAUAAUAAUAAAUAAUAAUAAUAAUAAAAGAAUUCAGAACCACCUAUAAUAUGACAUAAAUGAUGUAAAGUUUGUAGUAUUAGAACAGCUAAAAUUAGACAAUGCGACAUAGUAUCAUUCAAGAUUAGUAUCAAGAUUAGACAAUUGCUCUUAUUGUAUUACUUGUAUUGUAACACUUAAUGUAUUUGCUUACGAUUGUAAGUCGCCCUGGAUAAGGGCGUCUGCUAAGAAAUAAAUAAUAAUAAUAGAAGAAUAAAAGAAAGUAAAUGGAUAAAUAGACUGAACA